rnacentral:misc_RNA from 1 species
CAAUGAGUGUUUAAUGGCACUCUAAAUCCAUUACCCACCUUGUGUGCAAUGUCGAGGGGGAGAGGAGGGAACAUUCUUUUCUCUCCCCUUUUCAUACAUACCAAAAAACUUUUAAUUAUCAGUCUACAUCUAUUUAGAGUAUAAAAAACUCGAAAUA